rnacentral:rRNA from 1 species
CGUGCAGGCGGUUCCGUAAGUCGGACGUGAAAGCUCCUGGCUUAACUGGGAGAGGUCGUUCGAUACUGCGGGGCUUGAGGUCGGGAGAGGGACGUGGAAUUCCCGGUGUAGUGGUGGAAUGCGUAGAUAUCGGGAGGAACACCAGUGGCGAAGGCGGCGUCCUGGCCCGUACCUGACGCUGAGACGCGAAAGCGUGGGGAGCGAACG